rnacentral:lncRNA from 1 species
AUUUACUUUUGAUAUUUAGUACUAUUUCUUUACUUUAAAAUUAUGGUAAUAUUUACGUACCUGUAUUUUACAGUACUUGAUUUGUACUUAAAAUUUUAGUACAGAAAUAAUUCCAAAAGCGAUCCCAAUAUUACAUGUUUGAAAAUCAUAAUUCUAAGAGAUUUGAAAUAGAUAUGCUUUCAAAAUGCUGAAAAUAUCACGUUGCAACCAAAUAUAUGUAGUAUUAAAUUUUCAAGUACAAAUUAAGUACUGUAAAAUACAGGUAUCUAAAUAUUACAAUAAUUUUAAAGUAACAAAAUAGUACUGAAUAUUAAAUGUAGAUUUUCAGUACUGCAGAUUUUUGGUACAAAAAUAGUACCUACGCAAAAGUAGCUGUGUAAGAAGUAGGUCAACUUUAUAUGGUAAUGACAUGAAUUAAAGAUGUGCAAGUCAGUUUUGUAGGUUUCUUCCUACACUGACCUGAUUUUCAUGCUUUAUUGAUCAAUGUUCAGUUUUUGAGUUUUGAUGUAUGGAAUGAUUUGUUCAUGUCUGUCUGACUUGCCAAUAUCACUUCUUUGAUGACAAUUUACAUGGUUUUUUGUCAAUAUUUCAGAAGUUUGGCACUCUUUUCAGAUACUAUAUUAAAGCAAAAGGUCAGAUAUUGUCUCUCA